UAACCUCCCUCGCUCUUCGCCCGCCAGUACUGCCUUCCGCACGGCCGCCCCCAACAGCCAUCCUCAAGUCUGUGUCUCCCUCCCCUGCUUCCUCGAGCUGCACGGUAAAGAGCGUGUAAAGUCCGAGGGGGCACUGUCGGCCUCCCGGCAGGAAACUGGGUGAACGUGGAUGUAGCAAGGCGCCGUCCGCCCUGACUCCUGCGGUCCCUCGGCACGGCCGCGGCUGUCCUCACUGCUGAUCUCUGUGCUGCUGGGUUAUGCCACCUUCACCGGUUCCAGAAGGCUGGGCAGGCCGCUCAGAGUCCAGCCCGGCCACGGGGAUGACCUGCCACGGUUCGGUUCUCAGGAACUCUGCCAGGCGAGAGGGGACGGUUUCAGCCGGUGUUGCAUCGGGGACAAUGCUGACUGCCUAGCUCCCCAAGUUCACCCGCACCCUGGGACCCAGGAGGCUCAAAGGGGCAGGCCCUCUGACGGGACCUGAGAUCGUCAGCAGCAGCGAGAGGCUCUCUCUCCGGCUCCAUCCGAACAGCAGACACUGUGGAGGAGGGUUUUUUAACUGCUUUAUCGUGUUUGGGAAAAUCAGUGCAUGGUGGUUUUACACUAAAUUUAAAAGCUCAGAAGAGAAGGGUGCCCAGCUGGCUCAUUCGGAA